UGCCAGCCGCCGCGGUAAUACGGAGGGUGCCAACGUUGCUCGGAAUUAUUGGGCGUAAAGCGCGAGUAGGUGGCACAUAAAGUCGGCUGUGAAAGCCCUCGGCUCAACCGAGGAAGCGCAGCCGAAGCUGGUGAGCUAGAGUUUCGGAGAGGGUGGCGGAAUGCGCAGUGUAGAGGUGAAAUUCGUAGAUACUGCGUAGAACAUCGGUGGCGAAGGCGGCCACCUGGAAGAAUACUGACACUGAGACGCGAGGGCGUGGGGAGCAAACAGGAUUAGAUA
rnacentral:rRNA from 1 species